AGAAGAGCUAUUGUCUAACCACCCAGAGCACAGCCUUGUGUAUAUAAGGACCACACUUAAGCAGUGUGGAAACAGAGGUUGGAGGCAUCUAGGCCUGAUGAGUCCUUGGCAGCCUCUUAGAAUCCUUAUACCCUAGUAUGGGGUUCGGAAAGAGCCAAGAAUUCUUGUACUCCCCAAAAAGAGUCUGGCGGUGUUCAUGAGGGCUGGUGACCUGGAAAAGGCAUUCUGAUUGGGAUGACAAGGAUGCAGAGUCUAGAGCUGACAGCAGGGUGUGAUUGCUGAAACACAAGAAAGAGAGAAGAACUUUGCCCCCUUCUCCCAGUGCCAGCAGCCCAGAGGUAGCAGGAUCCUGUUGAAGAUGGGUAAUGUGCCAACAUCAUAACAAGGUUCAAGGGAGGCACAUCUCAUACGAGUGUGAAAAGGCAAUCAUCAUGCUUAUGAACUACAAGAUUAUCCUAUAUAUUCAUUUUCAAUUAUUUUAUCCUCCUCUGCCUCUUGCCCUGGACUAUAUAAGACCUGCAAUAUAAUGUUGAAUAAGGAAGGUGAAAACGAACAUCAUUGCAUCACUCCUGAUAUCAAAGGUGACAAAACUGAGGCUCAGAGGCCAAUGGCCUUGUUCAAGGUCACACGCCCACUAAAUGAGAGACCCGGAGACCUGGCAUCACACGUACCAAAAAUUAAAAGCAAAGAUGCUUAAAUCAACUGCAGUCCUUCUGGGCAGAUGUUCCUAAAUGCAAUCCAUCUAAGAGGAAAGAGUUUUUGAGGGAAGGGUGAUCACUGGGCCUCUACAUGCCACACCCGGAAGGCCCAGCAGUGGGGCAAGGAUAGAACACACAGUUUGGCGAUGUGACCCUGCCUGUCUGCACACCUCAGGAUCCCACCACCCAACAGGCAUACAUCUCCUGGAGCUACAGAGAUGCCAAAUGCCAGAGAAGGGAAGCAGGAAGGGAGAUGAAGACAAGGAACUCUGAAAAAUGGAAGCAGAAACACAGGCUGUAUUUUCCCCUAUCCUUCUUUUCUUUGUUCCCUUUUUUCUCUUUUGAAUGAAAAAUAAAAAUGCAGAAAACCUCAGGA
rnacentral:lncRNA from 1 species